UGGAACUCACUUGUGCCUCUGCCAUGCACGAGCUUUGUUCCGCUAACCCGACAGUCAGCAGAUCCAAGUCGUGAGUUUCAAAAGCCUUCUUGGGCCACCCCAGGCCGAGGCUCAUUCGCGGUCAGGUUCCUGGAGGGGACCUGAGCUCGGCACUCCUGCUUUCUUUCACUGAGCCCGGCACUCCUGCUUUCUUUCACUGAGCCCUGCCGUCCUUUCCCCAGAGAAAGCCCAUCCAGCCGAGCAGCCUGACGCCUUGGGAGACAGCCCUGCAGUGUGGCCAGCGCCGGCUGUUAACUUGCGCUUCCUCGGGAGGAAACUUGGCGUUGGAAGUUCACGCCCCCGGCUGGGUCUGGCGUUCGUCGGCUGCCAUCUCCUGGGCAAUCCUGGAAUGACGCGGUCCCCUCGGCCGGCAGGCCCCCAAGGGGUGAGGAGGUGCAUUCAGUCAGAUUGCUAAUGAUGAGACAGCAUGGCCAUGGAAGGACUCAUCUUCCAACACCUCCUACCUCCAAAACACCCAGAGCUGAACCAGCCCAGGACCCUUCAGGGAGACAGAUCAGAUAAGAGAUGGGAGGACCGAAGGCAGGGCAUUCCCGUGUGCCAGGUCUGCAGAGCCAGGCAGAUGAGGAACAAUGCAAACGAGGGAAGCGGGAAUUGUCUGCAAGCCGAAGGAGGCCGUCUGCUCUUUGGCUGCCAGGAGGUGCCUACCGGGACCUGGGGCAGUGCCCACCAGGAAGCAACGGAGGGUGAAAACACUCACAGCAGUAAAACUUGCCUUAAAACAACUCCCUUGAAUUAAAACCACAUAUUUUCAAGGAAACAAACACCGAUUCAAUCUGCAAAGAGUACAGAAGUUUCUCAUUAGAAGCGGGAAGAAAGGCAGAGAUGCAGUUUCAGAAAAGGAGAGGGGAGAGAGGAAGGCAAGAAAGAAGGAAAGAUGCCUGGAGCCUCCUCGUCCUCGUGGGUCAGAUCCUGGGAUGCACGUUCAGGAGUGGGGGAGAAGGAGCAAUCCCUGAAGCCUCAAUUUUCUUCUAGAGAUGCCCAGACUAUAGGUUCUCCAUGGCAUUGGCUUGGGGGAGGCCCUCUCAGACUCCGAGAUGUACACGAGUCCCCUGGGGAUCUGGCUGAAACACAAAUUCUGAUUCUAGGGCCUGGCAGGAACAGGAG
rnacentral:lncRNA from 1 species